GUUUCUUUAGCAGUACGUAUACUAAAUUUGGAACGAUACAGAGAAGAUUAACAUGGGCCCAUGCGCAAGGAUGACACGCAAAAUCGCGGAACGUUCCACAUUUUU